UUUCAAGUGAGUGGCGAACGGGUGAGUAACACGUGGACAACCUGCCUCAAGGCUGGGGAUAACAUUUGGAAACAGAUGCUAAUACCGAAUAAAACUUAGUGUCGCAUGACACAAAGUUAAAAGGCGCUUCGGCGUCACCUAGAGAUGGAUCCGCGGUGCAUUAGUUAGUUGGUGGGGUAAAGGCCUACCAAGACAAUGAUGCAUAGCCGAGUUGAGAGACUGAUCGGCCACAUUGGGACUGAGACACGGCCCAAACUCCUACGGGAGGCUGCAGUAGGGAAUCUUCCACAAUGGGCGAAAGCCUGAUGGAGCAACGCCGCGUGUGUGAUGAAGGCUUUCGGGUCGUAAAGCACUGUUGUAUGGGAAGAACAGCUAGAAUAGGAAAUGAUUUUAGUUUGACGGUACCAUACCAGAAAGGGACGGCUAAAUACGUGCCAGCAGCCGCGGUAAUACGUAUGUCCCGAGCGUUAUCCGGAUUUAUUGGGCGUAAAGCGAGCGCAGACGGUUUAUUAAGUCUGAUGU
rnacentral:rRNA from 1 species